AUUGAACGCUGGCGGCAUGCCUUACACAUGCAAGUCGAACGGUAACAGGUCUUCGGAUGCUGACGAGUGGCGAACGGGUGAGUAAUACAUCGGAACGUGCCUAGUAGUGGGGGAUAACUACUCGAAAGAGUGGCUAAUACCGCAUGAGAUCUACGGAUGAAAGCAGGGGAUCGCAAGACCUUGUGCUACUAGAGCGGCCGAUGGCAGAUUAGGUAGUUGGUGGGAUAAAAGCUUACCAAGCCGACGAUCUGUAGCUGGUCUGAGGGGAAGAUCAGCGACACGGGGACUGAGACACGGGCCAGUCUCCUACGGGAUGCAGCAGUGGGGAAUUUUGGACAAUGGGAGAAAGACUGAUCCAGCAAUGCCGCGUGCAGGAUGAAGGCCUUCGGGUUGUAAACUUCUUUUGUACGGAACGAAAAGCCCCGGGUUAAUACCCUGGGGUCAUGACGGUACCGUAAGAAUAAGCACCGGCUAACUACGUGCCAGCCGCCGCCGUAA
rnacentral:rRNA from 1 species